AAAUUUGAUUGGCCAAAGGGUACUUUUGCAGGUAUGGAAAGACAUCUUGAGGAACAGUGGAAGAGGAUGUUUGAUUUACAUUUCUUUAGAAGGAACUUUUCCAACUACACUUUGAUACAGUGAUAAGAUUGCAGCAGAGGGGCAGUCUGACAAAAUGGUGUCUGACAUGGAAGUGCGUAUGAAGCAAAGGUGCCAUUACAAUGUGCAGUUUAUUUAAGUAUCCCUUGAGGAAGUGGGAGGAUAUGAAAAAUAUUGAGAUUUAUUUAAAUGAUACCUGACAGCUACCACAAGCCAUGCAGGAUUUUAAAGAAAUUCGAAAUAUGAGAUGUGGAGAACAGAAUGAAUAUUUCCAAUGACCGUAAGCUAAAUGAAACCAUUUUCUCUAUUUGUUCUUUCCAAAUUCAUCAGUGCAUAGAGCCUAUUUUAUUGCACAGUGGAAAGCACUUAGCAGUGAAGGAUUAAUUCUCACUACUUCCUUGGGAAUAGCAGGAAAAACCCUUGGAGAAUUUGUACUGUGCUAGCUUGUGAAGCUUCAUGAAACUGUAAUGUGAGCAUUGAAAUUCUGGUACAGCACUUUCAGAUCUUUCCUGUAUCUUCCAUUCUUCCUAUCAUGAUCUUGGAAAAUGGAAGACAGCAUGAGGAAUAAGAGAAAGCAGGAUGGAGUGAGACACAAAUUGGGACACAUAUAUAGAGACAUAAAGACAGUCCCACACUGAAGAACCACAAACUCCAAAAAUAAAACAAAACUGUUACAGUUUAAGGAAGCCUGUGAAAAUUCCAAGUACCCACAUACUUCCCUGGAAAAGACGUGUUUGGCAAUGGAGAAGAUUAUAGAGGAAACUCAGAUCAGCUCUUAAUAGCUCAAAAUCCCCUCCUUUCUCUUCUUGUUGUCUGCUUGAAAAAGUUGAAUCACAAGUUUGUAAGCGCAGAAGAAAAAAUAAAAUACUGCCUCUAGAGCUCUCAUCAAAAGCUUGCUUUCAACAAAUAUUCUAAUGAGAGAUUUUAAACAGUUUACAAGCCAGGUGUGAUGAAGAUUUUAUUCCAAUGUACUUCAGAGACUAGGGCCUGAUUUUUGAAACUGCUCUUGGAGAAAUGUUGCCAGCUGUAGUUGUGCCAAAGAAGAUACCCAGGCUCAGAAAGAAACAAGCCACAGCCAAUGAACUUAUUUCACGAGCUGGCCAAAUGGACAGCUACCACAUAUGCCCUGCCCUUUAUAGAUUUCUGUACCUCUGUGAAACUAAAUUAAGACAGGCUUAUCCAAGAUGGCAGAUUCUUCCAACAUUUCUGAGACAGCUGCAUUUAUUGAGAUUCCAUGCAAAAUCUGGCGGAAUACCUGUCAUUGCAGCAGAUGAAUCAAAAUAUGUAUUUUGGAUUUAGAAGAAAUGAAGUUCAUCUUACAAUACAGCUAUAAAUUAAAUUUAUACAAUGUUGCCUAUGUAAAGUAUCUCAAAGUACUUCAUAUUAAAAAUACCUCAGACAAAAAUUUAGAACUCUACUGAACUUGAAAUUGAGAAGUGAGUCUUAAAAUUAAAUGGAAAAGUUCUUUCUCUUCCCCUCAAAGAACUUUGCUGAGUUGACAGUUCUGAUAUGUGAAGGAAGUGAAUCUCAUAGACAAGUGGUUUAAAAAACAGAAGACAAAACCAGCAUUGAAAGGAUAUAGGGUAAACUAAGGGUCAGUUGGAAACCUCUGAGCAGAAAACUUCAGUCAGUACAAAGCAGAGAAUAUCGAUAUAAUUGAAAAUGGAUGAAAAAAGGCUGUGAAUUGCUUUUAAAAAGUAAUAGGGCAGUUUGAUGAAGUGAAGCGGGCAAAAAGCAGAUUAGAAGAGAGCAAGGAAAAAGUUACCUAGAAAGAACUCUUAGCAUGUAGAAAUCAACAGCUCACUUCAGAAUUUUUUAGACUGAAUGGAAUAUAUUUUUUUUGCUUGUUUUGUUUUGUCUUCAGGAUGGGAAAGCAGAGAGUAGAGGAGCUUCUUAUUGCUUCUUAAAACUGCCUCCCGCCUGGAACCACAAACAGACAUAUAUUUCCUUGUUAGAGAGGUGAUAUCACAGAAUAAACAUUACCUAAUAAGAAACAAGACUAAAAAGGAAAAAAAAGAAGAGAGUAGUAGAUGAAAUGAAUGCUGAAAAAGCAGAAAUAUCUUAAGCAUUAAGGAAAGCUAUCAUUUGGACUGGUAAAAUAAUUUGGCUUCUACAGCUAUAAUUCUCUUAAAAUUACUAGAGUAUUCCUCUCCAGCAGUUGAUACCAGCAAGGUGCUUUCUACAGCUACCUGAAGGGAGGUUGUAGUGUGGUGGGAGUCAGCUUCUUUUCCCAAGUAGCAGUGAUAGGAAGUGAGGUUAUGGCUUUAAGUUGUGUCAGGGGAGGUUCAGUUUGGAUAUGAGGAAAAAUUUCUUUUCAGAAAGAGCUGUGAGGCAUUGGAUCAGGCUGCCCAGGGAAGUGUCAGAGUCCCCAUGCCUGAAGGUAUUCAAGAAAAGAGUAGAUAUUGUGCCGACAUGAUCUAGAGUGGUCCCAGGCAUGGGCUGGUGAUUGGUCUAGAUGAUCUUAUUGGUCUUUCCAAAGUUAACGAUUCUAAGGCAGCAGCAUCUAUCAAAACUGGCCUAUUUUGAACUAUGUAGGCUGCUGCAAUGGUCUAUUAAGAAAGGAAUGCAGAGAAGGGUACAUGCACUUCUUCAUUUGAUUUGUGUUUUCAUGUCCUGUUUAAAGCUCGUGAGCAAACUGAUGUGAUAGUGAAAAACUUGUAUUAUUUUUCACAACUUAGCUUGAGUCAGGCAGUUUAUUUUUAAGGCAAGAAUUGACUUUGUGUCAACAGACAUCUAGAUUUAUGUUCUGAAUCUGACUUUUUCAAGAUGUGGAUUUCUACCACACUCCGUAUGUGCAGUUUGCUAUAGAACUGAAAGAAAUUUGUCAGUGCACUUCUGAAUAAAAUGUGGGGAUCAUACAGUAGGGGUAAUAAUCUAAGCGAUCCCACUGAUGAAUGCUGUUUGAAGUUAAGGAAGUCAGGCAGAUAAAUAGAUAGGUAAUAUUAUAAACAAAAAUUUCAAAAAUUGUGAAUGUAGCUUUAGAAUCCUGUAUCCUGACAAGUUGCUGAUGUUUUGCAUCAGUUAAAAUCUGUUUGUUUGUUAUAUAAUUGUUUAAAUAUGGACUUUGUUAAUGAUUUUAGUUGUUUUACAUAUUACAGGUACACAGUAUAAUUAAUCAGCUGAACACUCCAAAAAAAAUUAUACGUGAACAAAUAGUUUUCUAAGAGGAAUCCAUCUGGAAGGCAGUAUAUGGCACACAUAAUGCACAGAAUGGGUAGGAGGUGUUCUCUUCAGUCUACGUCUGCAAACUGUAGUGUAUUGAGAAUGUUAAUUAUCAGUCUGCUUCCCUACACUGUCAUGGGAGAAUUGUGAAGGCAGUACUUCAGAGGCAGAUUGGUCUUUACUUUGAUAAUUUUUGUAUGGUCUUAUCUUUAACUUCCUUGACUUCUUUAUAUUUGCACCUCGGAAAAUGACACUCCAACUUUCCUUUUCUUUUAUAACUUUCCUCUGUAGGAAAGGUGAAGAAUAGCAUUUUGUCAGGUAAGUGUAAAAGAAAUAUUAAUCCAGUAACAAAGGAAAUGAGGUUUUGAGUCUUUCUCUGCUCAAACUCUUGGAUUCCUCCAAAGUGAAAUCCAAAUACCCAGAUUGUCAAUGAGUGAGACAUAAAGCUAGGUGCUUGCUUCACUUCUAGACAUUCAUGGUAGGAAAACUGUUGAAAGUUGCAUGUAAAUUUUAGGGAAACAACACACACAUUAAAACAAACAAACAAAAGCUGGAAAGCAGUGUGGAUAUCUGAGUUGUCUUUGGAAUUGGAAAUGAACCAUCUCCAUCAACCCAGUUGCUUUGUUCACUUCUGCACUGUGCUGUGUGUUCACCCUUAUUCCCGUGCUUCACUAACUAGGACAGCUCCAAGGGCAAAUCCUGCAAGAAAUGUUGUCUGUUCAACUAAGAUCCCAUUUUUAUUUUUUUCUGAAAAGGGUGGACUUAUCUGCUUCACAUAUUGGGAACAUGGCUCCUAUCACACCAUACCUUAAAAUGUGCCCAGACUUUUUCUGGAAGGCUGUUAGCUGGCAUAUGCCAAAACCUCACCAGGCAGUUGGAUUGCAGUUACACAGUAUGGGAUAUCGUAUCCCAUGUUCAGCCUUGAACUCAUGAGCUGCCUGAGCUGUACCUAUUGUAAUAGACACAAUAACAGUGUGCACAUGCCUAGAGGGCACAGAAGUAGUUUUAAUGUUCUCCAUGACUUAGCCACUUAUGUGCCAUCUGUAAGUGCCCAUGGGACUUUUUUAAAUUAUCAACCUGAACACUUCCACCUUAAGAUAAACACUGUCUAGAGAACUCAGUAUUACCAUUGUGUGGUCUGGCUCCCUAUAUUCCAUAAAAAAUAAUAGAUAAUUUUUAGGGAUUUGAGAUGAAAAUUGGAGAUUAGUUGGACCGUGCCUAAGGCCAAGCGUAGCAUAAAUAUUCCUUACAAGAUGAGAACUAUAGUCAACUGUAAAAACAUAUGGAAGAACAAUAUGUUCAUUCACAGACACCACAUAUUUCAGAAGAACAAAUUAGAUAGUCUGUGCUACCACAUAGCUGUGAAAUGGUAGUUGAGAGGUAGGAACUAACCAGUAUUUGAAAAAUUAAGUAAGAUACAGAGUACUUGAGCCCUGAAGAAUUAGGAGAUAUUGAGGAUUAUUCUUCCAACAGUACAUAUUCUGAGUAGUUAUAAGUGUUUUAAGUUCCAGGUAUACCAUUCCUUUAUCAGUAGAAAUUUUUUUAUUGUAGUUUUCUGGAUAAUGUUUACCUUGAGUGCAUUCUUUAAGUGGGAGAUUUCUCCACAGGAUCCUAUAGUGUUGUUCAGGAAAAAAAAUACAUUAAACAUUUAAACUAACUAAAUAGAUUUCCUGAAUCUAUCAACUUGGAUACACUGAGCUUAUCUAAGAUGGCAAAAGGUACAGAUCAGAGAAUCUAAAAAUACUUUAAAGUCACAUUUAGUGACACCUACUUAAUGAAAAGAGAAGCAAUUGGAAUUGUGGUAUAAGCAAUAUAUGCAAUACGGUACUGUGCUUUAAAAUCAUAGAAUCAUUGAAUGGCUUGGGUUGGAAAGGACCCAAGGAUCAACAAGUUCCAACCCCGCUGCCACAGGCAGGGCCACCAACCUACAGAUCUGGCACUAGACCAGGUUGCCCAGGGCUCCGUCCAACCUGGUCCUGAACACCUCCAGGGAUGGAGCAUCCACAGCCUCUCUGGGCAGC